rnacentral:rRNA from 1 species
UACGUAGGGGGCAAGCGUUGUCCGGAAUUAUUGGGCGUAAAGGGCGUGUAGGCGGUCCGGUAAGUCGGCUGUGAAAGUCCAGGGCUCAACCCUGGGAUGCCGGUCGAUACUGCCGGACUAGAGUUCGGAAGAGGCGAGUGGAAUUCCCGGUGUAGCGGUGAAAUGCGCAGAUAUCGGGAGGAACACCUAUGGCGAAGGCAGCUCGCUGGGACGUUACUGACGCUGAGGCACGAAAGCGUGGGUAGCAAACAGG